UACGGGGGGGGCAAGCGUUGUUCGGAAUUACUGGGCGUAAAGGGCUCGUAGGUGGCCAACUAAGUCAGACGUGAAAUCCCUCGGCUUAACCGGGGAACUGCGUCUGAUACUGGAUGGCUUGAGUUCGGGAGAGGGAUGCGGAAUUCCAGGUGUAGCGGUGAAAUGCGUAGAUAUCUGGAGGAACACCGGUGGCGAAGGCGGCAUCCUGGACCGACACUGACGCUGAGUGAGCGAAAGCCAGGGGAGCAAACAGG
rnacentral:rRNA from 1 species